rnacentral:rRNA from 1 species
UAAGGAAUAUUGGACAAUGGAGGCAACUCUGAUCCAGCAAUGCCGCGUGUGUGAAGAAGGCCUUCGGGUUGUAAAGCACUUUUGUCAGGGAAGAAACGGUGAAGGCUAAUAUCCUUUGCUAAUGACGGUACCUGAAGAAUAAGGACCGGCUAACUACGUGCCAGCAGCCGCGGUAAUACGUAGGGUCCAAGCGUUAAUCGGAAUUACUGGGCGUAAAGCGUGCGCAGGCGGUUGUGUAAGUCAGAUGUGAAAUCCCCGGGCUUAACCUGGGAAUGGCAUUUGAGACUGCACGGCUAGAGUGUGUCAGAGGGGGGUAGAAUUCCACGUGUAGCAGUGAAAUGCGUAGAGAUGUGGAGGAAUACCGAUGGCGAAGGCAGCCCCCUGGGAUAACACUGACGCUCAUGCACGAAAGCGUGGGGAGCAAACA